rnacentral:rRNA from 1 species
UACGUAGGGUCCGAGCGUUGUCCGGAAUUAUUGGGCGUAAAGGGCUCGUAGGCGGUUUGUCGCGUCGUUCGUGAAAACUCACAGCUCAACUGUGAGCUUGCGGUCGAUACGGGCAGGCUAGAGUUCGGUAGGGGAGACUGGAAUUCCUGGUGUAGCGGUGAAAUGCGCAGAUAUCAGGAGGAACACCGGUGGCGAAGGCGGGUCUCUGGGCCGAUACUGACGCUGAGGAGCGAAAGCGUGGGGAGCGAACAGG